UACGACUACAUAUCAGGCAUAUCAAUAAGCGGAGGAAAAGAAACUAACUAGGAUUCCCUUAGUAACGGCGAGUGAAGCGGGAAGAGCUCAAAUUUGAAAUCUUCAAGGUUUUACCUUGACGAAUUGUAGUUUAAAGAAGUGUUUUCUGUUGGAGUUUCGGUAAAAGUUCUUUGGAAUAGGACAUCAUAGAGGGUGAGAAUCCCGUAUUUGACCAUUAUUUCCAGCUUUGUGAUACACUUUCAAAGAGUCGGAUUGUUUGGGAAUGCAGUCCAAAAUGGGUGGUAAAUUUCAUCUAAAGCUAAAUAUUGGCGAGAGACCGAUAGCGAACAAGUACCGUGAGGGAAAGAUGAAAAGAACUUUGAAAAGAGAGUUAAACAGUACGUGAAAUUGUCAAAGGGGAAGCGUUUGACACCAGUGUUGUUUUCUCGAAAAUCAAUUAAAAAAGGCAGGAUUUUGUGUUGUAUUGACCUUUAUCAGCUUUCUGCACUCUUUUCUUGUCUUUUUUAAUGCACUUUUCGUUUAACAAGUCAACAUCAAUUUCUUUUGUUGUAAAAGGGUCAUUGGAAGGUGGCUUUCUUUUCGGAGAAAGUGUUUAUAGCCUUUGGCCUCUGCAAUCGGAGAGAUUGAGGUCUGCAGCGUAGAUCCUUCGGGGUUAGAUACAUUUGUGCUAAGUUAUAGCCUUUCAUAGACAACUUGUUGACUAUGAUCAGUCAUGUAGCUUACUCGCUUAUGCUAUUUUACCUACGCUUAGGAUGUUGAGCGCAUGUCUCUCUCU
rnacentral:rRNA from 1 species